GGGUUAGUUUCAUGUAAUUUUAUUAUGUUUUUAUUAAUAUAUAAUAGGGUUGAUGUCAACUACAAAACUUUUGUCCACUACGAAACGGUUUUGUCCACUACGAAACUCAUCAAAAUGUCCACUACGUAACAUGAGUUGUUCCUUCAAAUGUGAAGUACUGUCUAAUCUUUAUCGAUAAAAAUGGUUUUCCAAUUCAGAAAAAAAUGAGAUUUUUCUAGUAUUUAAAAGUAAACAAACUGGAAUGUCUAAAGGGAACAUUUAA
rnacentral:lncRNA from 1 species